AAGAAACCUCAAGCAGACCAGACCCAGAGGGGAGACCCACUGCUUAGGCCAUUCUAAUAGUUACAAGGUUUUUAUAGAUUGUACAAAAGUUUGUUUACAAACAGAGGAGCAACAAAAACAGAGUCCUAAAUUGAAAACACAGGAGACUCUGAUUCCAUAUU